ensembl:lncRNA novel transcript
AAGCCAGCUGCCCUGUCAUGACGGUAUGCAUGCAGCCCCAUGGAGAGGCCCACAUCAUGAGGAACUAACCAAGCACUAACUUGCCUGGUGUUUCAAUAGGCCACUUUGGAGGCAGAUUCUCCAGCCUUGGUCAGGCCUUCAGAUGACUGCAGCCCUGGCUGAUGACUUGACUGCCACCUCAUGAGAGACCUUGAGCCAGAACCACCCAGCCAAGCCACUCCUGGAUUCCUGAUCCACAGAAACUAGGUGAAACGUCAAGAAUGACUAAAAGCCAACAUUCAAGAAGACAGCAUCUGCAAACAAGUGUUGAUCCCAAGUGUAAUCCUAGGGAACCCGACUUAAGGCCUCCCCAUCUGAAGAACACAAUCUCAAGGAAGAAUUUAAGGGGAAACCUGUCUACACAGUUUGACUUUCUGUAAAGAAUUGCCAUGCUACUCCUGAGGAUCUAGGAUAAUACUGAAAGAAGCACAUAUGGGGCACAAGAUUUCUAGCACUUUAAAGCUUAAUGCUUUAAAAGUAUGUUUUGAGGCUUCUUUAAAAGUUUAUGGAUCUUGCCCAGAGCUGGAGUCGGAGCCCCCGAGGCUGCCGCCGAGAGUGCCCGCGAGCCCGUGGCCCAGCCGAAGCUCUUUCCCGCCGCCUCUCCGCGCCUCGUCCCCGUCCAGCCCCACCCAACCCCCAACCCAGCCUGGUCCCCUGACCCUCAGUCUGGCCCGGUCUGGCCUCCCAGCAGGGUCACGCAACUGCCCCGGGGACGAUGAAAGGAGGAUAAAUGGUGCCCAAGGUGGACAGCGGUGCCUUCCUGCUGCUCUUCCUGCUCUUGCUGUCACUGAGCCGUUGCGGCCAGUGGGGACCCUCUGCUGAGACAGGCUCUGUGUCCAGCACCUGCUCCGGGUCACGCUCUGGGGGAGUAGGAGUCGCACGACUGUCUCAGCCUUGGAUUUGACUUUGGCCUCAUCCACCUAGGGGCCACGGGAGAACCAUGUGGGUUACCAAGUUCAAGGGGAGAGAGAAGAAGCUGAUGAAAAUAGAGGCUCAUCUGGGACUGCCUUCCUUCUCUGGCUCCACCCUUGACUUCUUCAGAGCUUGGGCUUUAAGCCGUGAGCUCCAUCUCAUUCCCUGGGCCGCAAGAAGCUCACUGGGCCCGCGUCUCUGGAGGCUGUUGGGGGGGCCCUUCCUCUGUCUCCAUAGUCGACGGCUUGCUGGGGAAACCCAGGAUCUCCGACUGCCUGGACAUUUGCAUUGCUGUCCCCUCGGGUUUUGUCUCAGGCUGUGCCUGGGGCUGUGCCUCUCCCUCAGGCUCCAGCUUGGUGGCAGACUUCUUGUCAGAGCCAGGUUCGGGGGUCCACAAGGGUUCAGUUCCCCGGGAACUCUCCCCCUCCUUGUUGAUGGCCACAGAGGGAGAUCCCCGUGCCUUGGGCUGCAUCCAGCAGUGGCUGAGGAUCUCGUCGAUGUGGAGCCGCCGGUUGACGUCGGGCUGCAGCAUGUGGUAGAUGAGGUCCUUGCACUCGCCUGUCAGGUGCUUGGAGCGUGGGAAGUUGACGCGGUGCUCCUUCUGGAUACGCAGCAUCUUCUUGAUGUUGGAGUCGUCGUAGGGCAUGGAGCCGCAGACCAUGAUGUAGAGGAUCACGCCUAGGCUCCAGAUGUCGUACACCUUGGGCUGGUAGGGAAUGCCCUGCAGCACCUCUGGGGCCGCAUACGCUGGUGACCCACAGAAGGUCUUGCUUAAUGCCAUUCGACCACUGUCAUCCCGCAGGCAGCGCUUGGAGAAGCUGAAGUCGGACAGCUUGAUGUUGAAGUCCUUGUCAAGGAGAAGGUUGUCACACUUGAGGUCCCGGUGGACGACGUCCAGGUCGUGGCAGUACUUGAUGGCCAAGGAAAGCUGGUGGAACUUCUUGCGAGCUUCGUCCUCAUGCAGGGCUCCCCGGGUUUUGAUUAACUCGAGGAGGUCGCCCUGGACCGCGAGCUCCAUGACGAUGUAGACCUUGCCAUGUGAUGUCUCAAAGAUCUCGUAGGUCUUAAUGAUGGAGCAGUGGUUUAACAUGGCCAGAAUCUCAAUUUCCCGGGGAAGGAAUUUCUCCAAGAAGUCUGCGGGGGCCUUCUUGCGGUCGAUGAUCUUGAUCGCCACAUUGAACUUCAGGCGCUCAGAGUAAGCAGAUUUUACUUUUGCAUAGGAGCCCUCUCCUAAAUUUAUCCCCAGGAGGUAGCCUCGUCGCUUGAGGACAGCAGCGUCAUCCAUGGUGCCAGGAAUGCCCAGUGCCUCUGAGGCUGCCCUCUACAGCCCCGAGGCGCAUGGGCCAGCAGUGUGCUCAUUUACAUCCUGGAUAGAGAGUCCUUUGGGCUGGCCAGGCCUGCUGUUCCUGCCUCCUAGAGGCCAAGACUCUGGAGUGGAACAUUUGGCACUGUCUCCCAGAUGACUUCAGCGAGUGAAGUCACAAAGGAGGAGUGCCCUGGGGGAAUGAGACCCUGGCCUGAGGCACUUGGACUUGGAAUCCUGGAAGGCUGGCCAGUAGGCUGGAGCAGACAAGAUGAGCAGAAAGUGGCCUCGUGUCUUGCUGGGACCUGAGCCCUUGAUGCUGUCCACACAGGUGACCCUCAGGAGUGCAGAGCAGGGCCAAGAAGAGUGGUGUGUCAAGAAGGUAGACAGCUUCCUGGCCCCGGAGUCACGCAGUUUGAGAUGCCUGGAUUCUGCCGCCUCCCUAUACAUCUCUUCCCUUGUCUGAGCCUUUGCUGGCUUCUUACAGCAGCUCUGUAGGAGGACAGCUGGCAGGAGUUCUGCUCUUGGCUGUGAGCUCCCUCCUGGGGACCUGCCCAGCUCACGGCCCUGGCUGGGCUCCCAGGGCAUAUCUGGGGCUGGGGGCUGAAGGUGGGGCCUGGAUGCCACCCUGAGCACUGGCAGCUGCUCUGAGGACAUUACAAGCAGCAGGGGAAGCACUGGACAGCAACCAUCAUUUCUUCUGGCAGUGGAGCCUCUGCUGUGACUGGUUCUGUGUCCAGCACCUGCUCUGGGCCACACCGUCAGGAAGAAGGAGUUGCAUGACUGUCCUAGCCUUGGAUUUGACUUUGGCCUCAUCCACCUAGAGGGAGUGAGAACUCCUUCCUCACAUGAGCCAGGUGGAACCCUGGGCCCUUCAGGAGUGAGUUAGUAGAGCUGGAUGUCGCUCAGGCUGGGUUGGGUCACCACCAGCUGUGGCCCUUCUCCCUUUUCUCUGCUCCUUCACCUUGUUCCCCAACUCUGACUGCCCACUGCCAGUCCUUUGUGCGUGGUUGGUGCUCCUUCCUCCAGACAGCCUCCUUCUCCUUCCUGCUGGGGAAACCCCAAGUGCUGUCUCUUGGAAACCAAAAAUAAAAUUCUAAUCUCCCC